rnacentral:tRNA from 1 species
AAGGGAGACCUAAUUCCGGUAGGAGACGAAAAAAAAGUAGUCCCAACCAAGAAUCAAUCCCAAAAGGUCGGAACGAGGUAUGAGGCUUUCAAACUAGGUUCUGGGUUCAUAAAAGACCUGAAUCAGGAACAAGGGCUAUUAGCUCAGGUGGUUAGAGCGCACCCCUGAUAAGGGUGAGGUCCCUGGUUCGAGUCCAGGAUGGCCCACCUGCACAGGUGGCAAAAACAAGAGAAGCUCCGAAUCAGCACCUUAUCUUAUAUACAUAUAUAAGAGAGAAUGCUGGCUCUGAGUACAGAGUCCAGAGGAACCUUGAAAACUGCAUAGAGCUAGGUGAAAAAGCCAAAAAAGAAGGCCGCAA